GGGUUUGAUCCUGGCUCAGAUUGAACGCUGGCGGGAUGCUUGCUACAUGCAGUCGGCACCGGCAGCACGGGACUUCGGUCUGGUGGCGAGUGGCGAACGGGUGAGUACGUAUCGGAACGUGCCUAGGUGGAUAUCUACGCGAAAGCGUAGCUACAUCGCAUACGCCCUUCGGGGAAAGCGGGGACCUCGGGCCUCGCACUAUUAGAGCGGCUUUUGAUAUCGGAUUAGCUAGUUGGUGGGUAACGGCUCACCACAGUGACGAUCCGUAGCUGGUUUGAGAGGACGACCAGCCACACUGGGACCAGACACGGCCCAGACUCCUACGGGAGGCAGCAGUGGGGAAUUUUGGACAAUGGGGGAACCUCGAUCCAGCCAUCCGCGUGUGCGAUGGGUACUGGGUUAGUAAAGCACUUUUGGCAGGAAAGAAACGGCACGGAUAAUACCCCCGUGCAAUUGACGGUACUGCAGAAUAAGCACCGGCUAACUACGUGCCAGCAGCCGCGGUAAUACGAAGUAGCAAGCGUUAAUCGGACUUACUGGGCAAGAGCGGCGCAGGCGGUUCGAAAGAAAGAUGUGAAAUCCCGAGUUUAACUUUGAACUUAUUUAACUACCGAGCUAGAGUGUGUCAGAGGGAGGUGGACCUGCGGUAGUGAAUGUGCGAUAUGCGGAGGAACACCGAUGGCGAAGGCAGCCUCCUGGGAUAACACUGACGUUUCGAUGCACGUAUAUGUGGGAGCAAACAGAUUAGAUACCCUGGUAGUCCACGCCCUAAACGAUGCUGUUCAGCUGUUGGGCUUCACCGUAGAAAGGCAGCUAAUCGCGUAAGACCGCCUGGGAGCGGUCGCAAGAUUAAAACUGAAGCGAAUGACGGGGACCUCGCACAAGCGGUGGAUGAUGUGGAUUAAUUGGAUGGCACGCGAAAACCUUACCUACCUGACAUGUCUGGAAUCCCAGAAGAGACGGGGAGUGUCGCAAGAGAAACCGGAACAUAGAGAAGUGUAUGGACAAGUUGCUGGGCUCGUGUCGUGAGAUGGGUUGAGUCCCGCAACGAUAGUGAACCUUGUCAUUAGUUGCUGAAGAAAGGGCACUUCUAACGAGACUGUUAUGAUAAACCGAGGAAGGUGGGGAUGACGCUCAUCCUCAUGGCCUUAUGUAGGCUGCACAUUGCCAUACACUUGUCGUAUUGUAGGUCGCCAACCCGCAGGGAGCCAAUCCCAGAAACUGCUGAUCAGUCCGAUCGCAGUCUGCAACUCUGACUGUGUGAAGUCGGAAUCGCCAGUAAUCGCGGAUCAGCACGCUGCGUGUGAAUACGUUCCCGGUCUUUGCAUACACCGCCCGUCACACCAUGGGAGUGGGCUUUAUCGGCAGGUUGUUAGCCCAACCGUAAGUGAGGCAUUACCAUGAGAUUCAUGACUGGGUGAAGCUGUAACAAGGUA
rnacentral:rRNA from 1 species